rfam:Robiginitalea biformata HTCC2501, complete genome.
GGGGCCGACUGGUUUUGACAGCAAGACCAAUGGCGAUGUAAGCAUGCCGAGCGCUGGGAUACAGCUCGUAAAUCUCAUAUUUCACACUUUUAAUUGGCGAUAAUAAUUACGCUCUCGCCGCAUAAUCUGAAUUAGAGUAAGAUCAUGCCUCGUCUCCGCAAGGCGGAGAAGCGAGAUGUCCCUGGAUAGCCCUUGUUGGCGGCGAUCCAUUUAGGGGCACCAGAAAAGUCAACAUAGUGUGGUUAUCGCUUCGCUAACCGCAUAAACCUUAAGAAGCUAAGCGCGUAAUGGGCCGUUUCCGGUCAGUUGCGCGUCGACAAUCAAUCGGAAACUAAGCAUGUAGAAAGCAUGGUUAUUGCUUGUUUGGACGGGAGUUCGAAUCUCCCCGGCUCCACAA